rnacentral:rRNA from 1 species
AUUGAACGCUGGCGGCAGGCUUAACACAUGCAAGUCGAGCGGGCGAGGUUGCUUCGGUAACUGAGCUAGCGGCGGACGGGUGAGUAAAGCUUAGGAAUCUGCCUAUUAGUGGGGGCCCCCUUUCGGAAAGGAAUGUUAAUACGGAAUCGGCCCUACGGGGGAAAGCAGGGGAUCUUCGGACCUGGCGCUAAUAGAGGAGCUUAAGUCGGAUUAGCUAGUUGGUGGGGUAAAGGCCUACCAAGGCGACGAUCUGUAGCGGGUCUGAGAGGAUGAUCCGCCACACUGGGACUGAGACACGGCCCAGACUCCUACGGGAGGCAGCAGUGGGGAAUAUUGGACAAUGGGCGCAAGCCUGAUCCAGCCAUGCCGCGUGUGUGAAGAAGGCCUUUUGGUUGUAAAGCACUUUAAGCGAGGAGGAGGCUCCUUUAGUUAAUACCUAAAGUGAGUGGACGUUACUCGCAGAAUAAGCACCGGCUAACUCUGUGCCAGCAGCCGCAGUAA